rnacentral:lncRNA from 1 species
CGGUAUACUGAUUUAAAUAAAGUUAAUUCAAAAAGAUAAAUCCUAUUUAUUUAUUUUUGUUAUUGUCUUUCUCUCAUUAUACCAUAUUUAAGUAUUUUCGUAAUUCAGAAUUCAAUAUUAGUUUGCAAUGUUCUGCUGUCACUCCCUUAAGUGGAUGCAGAAUCAAAGCCUCCAGAAAGCUGGAGAGACAGGGAGCCAACGGAAAGGGAGGUGAAGGCAGUCACCAUCCUGCAGGCUGGAUUUAAAGGACAUUUCGUGCGAGAGAUCUUUAAUGCGUCAAAACCAGGCACGAAGGAGAACCUCAGUGCGUCUAAGAUCCUUUUAGACAUGUGGCUGAAGGUUGAAUCGGAUGCAGAAAAACAUGCUGCCAUCUUGCUACGGUUUAUCAUUGACCACUCUGAGAGGAAAGCAGAGCUCUACUCCUGUCAGCAGGAUGAAUGGACCAGAGUUUCCUUCGCUGAUUACUCCGUCCCUCUUCAAGACACAGCCAACUCCUGGGUCUUGGUCUUUAGGUUAGAGAACAAUUGUAAUUUAAGGAUUGUUCGGUGUGUCAAUGAAAGAUAAUCCCUAACCUGCCUUGGAAAAUAUCCCCUU